CUUGCCAGCAGUAGGGGGUCCAGAAAUUCAAAUCACAGUAAUGGUGUAAACAUCUAAUAUGGGUUUGAAGGGACGUGAAGGCUUGGUGAAGAAGGUGGUGCGGUGGUGGCGGAUGAGGAGUUGCUGCUUGUUUGGGUUUGAAGAAAUUCUUGUAAUUAUCACUAAAAAACAAACCAAAACCCCCUGCCAAAACCCAUGGCUGUGAUAUUCAACAAAGUGUGUCUUCAGCCAUAAAUUCCUUACCUUUAGA
rnacentral:lncRNA from 1 species